rnacentral:rRNA from 1 species
UACGGAGGGGACUAGCGUUGUUCGGAAUUACUGGGCGUAAAGCGCACGUAGGCGGAUUUGUAAGUCAGGGGUGAAAUCCCGGGGCUCAACCUCGGAACUGCCUUUGAUACUGCAAAUCUCGAGUCCGGAAGAGGUGAGUGGAAUUCCUAGUGUAGCGGUGAAAUGCGCAGAUAUCAGGAGGAACACCGAUGGCGAAGGCAGGUCUCUGGGCCGAUACUGACGCUGAGGAGCGAAAGCGUGGGGAGCGAACAGG